GGGAUAAAACGUCUCUUGGAAAUCAGUCAGAUAUUUCAGGUCAUCCUUUUUGCAGCUUCUGUUAAAGUCAUGCAAGGAGGAGAUAGAAAGUUCUUACAGUGCAAAACUUCGGGAGUCAAAAAAUUCACUGAGCUCGUAGUCUUUUCUGAGCUUUUAGCUUUCUAGGAUUGUGCCAUAAGAAGAUUGGCCUUUCCUCCCAUUUACUUCUACAAUGGAGGAGUUAGAGAGUUCCUUGCUACAAUAAAGCAACAUGUUUUUA